rnacentral:lncRNA from 1 species
GGCAAUACAGAUCACAUCAUCAAACAGCAAAUAACAAGCAGGGUACAACAUAGGCAGAUAGUAAAUCAAUCUUUUGAAAUCUCCACAGUUCACUUGUUCAACAGAUUAAACAUGAUUCAAGUCACAAUGCCAGGUAAUUGCACUUAAGAAGAUCUGUCAAGCGCUCUGUUACCAUUAACCGACACAUUUCCCUAUUUGCUCCGAGUAUAAUACGGUCUCAUUGCUAAACAAAAGGCGAUCAGUUCUCAUACUUCGGGUCUGCCAUCACAAAGUGGUACGCGAUGACCAACACAAAGAUGAAGAUCCCCAGGAAGUUGGUGAAGAAACCCAAGUCUUGAUCGUCAAACAUCUGCAGAAAACAUUGGCAAACAAAGGAUAGUUAAGAUGUGAAAACAGGCAAUCCAUGAUGAUAAUCAAAUCUACUGGUUGCCACUUGUCAGAAGUAUAUGCCAUGGAAGCAAAGGCUAAAGUACAACAUACAAACAGAGGUUAUAAACGAGUUGUGUGUGUAGUGUCGGAAAGGAGGGCAAGAAGCAGCAAGAAGCUACUAUAGGAUUAUGGUGAUAGGUUGUCAAUACAAAACGCAGCAAGUCAAACAUGUGGCAAAGCCCUGCUUAACCAUCAUAUGGUCCUGAUAAUUCCAAACAAAGAUCUCUGAGCUCUGGGGCAUGUUCCAACAAAUCUAAUUUGAUGACAGAUUGGGAUGUCACCAAGUCAGCAUCACUCUGACUCCACUUUCUCCAAAAAGAUACGUAGGAAUAGCAAAUAAACUGGGGUUAAGUGCAGUCCACUUUUAUCAUGAUAUGCAUUGAUUAAGGAACCUUGCAUGUCCAAAAUACAAAUUAGGCCAUCCAUGUACCUGACAUGGGAAGGGUGUCCUAUGCCUACUGUAGUUCAGGGAUGAGUCGUGGAAGAUGGGAGACUAGCUAGAUAAACUUUUAGUGGUGUAGAGCUAUGAAGAGCAUACUGCUACUGAUGUAUAGAGCUAGAUUACAUAAGAUGGUGCGACUGAACCUGCACUACUGUGGGCAUGCUGCAAAAUCUAAUAAUUCAGGGCUACCAAUAUCUAGAGAAAGUUUCAAAUGAAAGCAAGACAGAAAGAUGGAAGAUAACAGAAACAAAAUUUCGAUAACCAGAUCCAGUGCAACACAUGAAUGAAGGUGAAAUUUAGUUAACUGCUGUACAAGAGCACUAUCUCUGCAGUGUAAUAGAACAUGUAGGAAACGUGCAAUGAUAGCUAUACAGAGAAACACACAUAACACGGUCUUCCGGGUGCACCAAUUCAUGGGUCUUCAUAUCUUCAUUACCCUUCCCAAGUUUCUACUGCCAAGAGAACUCUUCUUGUAUGCAAGGGUUUGUGUGAUCAUAUUAUCUAUCAACAUGUACAAAUUCAGCUCCUGAGCUGUUCACUCAACAUAGCUUAAUCUGCUCCGUGGGUUGCAUAAUCUUCUUACGGCUAAAACCGGAGAAUUACUUUAAAAAUUCAUCCUAAAAGGAUAUCAGGCUACUGCAUCUGGCGCCUGAACCUGACCAAGCGGAUUACGUUCACUCACCUAUGGCAUGCCACACCCACCGGGUGAUCCUCCAAAGAGCACCAUAACAAUUACCCUAAACCUACGAACAAAAUCCAACAAAAGGGGCAGAGUGGACUGAGCCCGAGCCAUUUCCUGCCGGAAUUCCGGAAUCAAAUCGAACGAGAUCUCACGGGAUGCAAAGCUGAUCCAGCCACGAGAUCGCGGCAGAGGAGCCGCGUCACUCAGUCACCCCCUUGUGACUCCACUACGGAUCCCGCCCCAAAUCGAACGGAUCUGCCGGAUACCACGACGAGGAAGACAGAAGAAGCUGCGGCGUGAUGGGCAGGAACUCUUCGCGCGAGCAAAAAUUUGCUGUGCGAUCUGAGAGAAGAGAGCAGGUGAGACGGAGGGAGAGGACCGCACCUUGCCGGCCGCCGCGCGGAUCUGUAGGGAGACUUGGCGCGCUCGCGGUCACGCUCGCCGUCGUCGCCGCGUCGUUGGUCCUGGCUGCCGAGUGCACUGCGCUGAAACUGCCGAGUUGCGGGGAGGAAGAGCAGAAGAAGACGUGGGCCGGGGUUACAGGUCUUUGUGACGACUCCGCGAUUACUGGGCCGGCUGGGUUCAUCUGGGCUUAAGGCACUGUGUAUUUGUAGCCCAUGCGACUUUGGGGAGUAAUGUCAACGCUCCAGUGCUGCGAGAACACCCCGUCAAAAAAAAAAACUGUGCUGUGAGAACAAGUCGCGCAUUCUCGGCUCCAGUGCUUGCCGGGGACGAGCGAGGCGAACGACCGACCGACCGACCGCGCGCGACGGCGACGUCGGCGAGGGGGCGAAGCGAUCUGAUCGCCGCGCGCCGCCUCCUUCUCCGGUGAGCGACCCAGAUCUUCUCCUUCGCGCCGUGAUUUGCAUGUUUUACCCUCUUCUCCUUGAUAGUUUUUGUUCGCGCCGCCGCCGAUUUGAUGCGCAUUGGUUUGUUUCAGUUUCAGGGAUGGCCUGCACAACAAUAAGCUGGUAUCUGAUUGGGAAGUGGGGAAUACCAGCAAUGUUCUCCUUGCUACAUGGCCUAUGGAACCAUGUGUUCAGCAAGACAGAGUUCCGUGUGCUCAUCCUUGGAGUCCAUAAGGCUGGGAAGACGGUAAAUUCAUCUCAAACUUAUGUUUACAUGUAUGAAGUAUUGAGCCAGCUAUCUCCCUUAUCGUGUCAGCGUCCCUCUGUUGAGGAUUGACUCUAUUUGUACUCUAUUUUAUUAGAUUCAUACCAAAAGUUGGCAUGCUUCCAGUAAUGAAUAUGCAGACCUUGCUAGAAAAGUUGAAGUCAAUCUAUUUGAAAGGAGAAGGGCUUCCACAUGAUCGUAUUGGUCCAACUGUGGGGCUUAAUAUUAGACGUAUUGAAGAUGCAAAUGUAAAACUUGUUUUCUGGGAUCUGGGAGGUCAGGUAUGGUUUCUUGUGCUAUUGACCAAAAUUUGUGGCCGACAAGCUAUUCUAUGAAAUUUCUCCAUUCGUCAUUCAGGACUAUUUUAAUUUCAUCAAAGAUAGGUUGAUAUUUGCUAAUUCUCCGGCCUCCAUUUUCAUUAACGGAGAUCAAAAUCAUGAAAUCUGGAAAUAGAGAGAUCUUGCUCGAGAAGAUUAAUUGCAACCAUAGUAGAGCUGCACAUGUUGUAUCUAAUUUUGCUAGAACCGGACAAUACACUAAUGCUUGGUUGCACUGGUUAAUGGAUUGCAUUUCACUGCUUUCUAAACCUUUAGCUGACCAAUAAAGAUCCCAUUCCCAUGUAAGGAAAAAAAAGGAACUAAUUGAUGUUAAGAUCAAUGCAUUUGUACUUUCUUUUUUUUAUGAUCUUACUUUAAUACCUGGAGAUAGAAUACACUUCAUUUUGCAACCAAAGUACCUGGAUUAGAUAAGUGACAAUUGUCGGUCAGUUUUCAACUUUUCAUCCCUUAUUUAGAAGCCUCAAAAGUUUCCUCUGGACAUGCAAAUUAGUUGAACAUUAGAGUUGAUGCUUAUACUGAAGGCAUGUAACCAUCAUGUUUAUAAGUUUUUUCACGUUUAUGGCAAAACUGCAGCAAAUGCUUAUCUUAAGUAAGACCUUAUACUUGAUACUACAGAGAUCCUGGUCUACGUUCGUGAUCAUGUACCUAAUAUUUUUAUGGAAGGUUCUCUCUUACUACUACUGCUGUCUGAUGUACUUUCAGCCUUUUAAGAACAUAAGCUUUGGUAAUACUGAAUUGACAAGUUAGACCUUUCCCAUUAUGUGGUUUAAGUUUUGCUUAAGGAAGCAUACUAAACUGUAGUUAUGACCUUCACUUUGUGAAAGCUAACAGGCAAAAUAAACUUCAUUCCAAAAUUCCACGAAGCCUACAAUGUAGAUAGCAUUCUUUUUCUAGACAUUGCAAAUUCUAAUGCUAAUUACAUGUUUUUGACAGCCUGGCCUAAGAACUAUAUGGGAGAAAUAUUAUGACGAGGCUCAUGCUAUAGUAUAUGUUAUCGACUCUGCCUCCGCAUCGACAUUUGAAGAUGCCAAAUCUGCUCUUGGUAAGUUGCUUCUGUUUCUUUCGUCACAAAACAUUCGUGUAACUUGUGAUGUAACUGUAUGUUCUAGUAAAGUCUUUCAUAGGUCUGGAAAAGUUAGGAUCAUUACUGGAGUGAAUGGUGACUCAAACAUUUUUGUUGCAGAGAAAGUACUUCGUCACGAGGAUCUGCAAGAGGCGCCACUACUCAUAUUUGCCAACAAACAGGUUGAGUUCUAUACACUAUACUUAAAUUACCUUACAAAACUCGAUGCUUUCACUCUGAACUGAAAACUGCAAUUGCUUGGAUGAAAAUUGGUACUUCUGGGAAAAUUCCUUUCCAUGUGCAUACAAUGCACAGCUGUAAACCAACCUACAGCUGUUUAAGUGUCAGAGGAUGUCAAUUUCCAUGCUCCCUAGGUUUUGAAUACACAUCAUGUAGAGCUCAGAGUAUGGAAGACGAGAAACAUACUUUAACCAUGUGCAUGCGCAUAACUGAAGUUGUUCAAGAAUUGACGCAUUCUUAUCGUCCUUGAUGAUAUUCACAUUUUGAAGACGAGAGACAUGUUGUGGAAAUAAAUAAUUGUCCAUCUUAUUCCUUGAAGGACUGGAGUAUCACCAAAGAUUUAGCCAUGGACCGGGGUGUGUGGAAAUUAGCUAUCCACGUGCCAGAACCAUGACUUGGUUUCUAUAUCUUAUGGGUUUCAACUCUAGCCUACCCCAACUUGUUUGGGACUGAAAGGCUUUGUUGUUGUUGUUGUUGUUGUUGUUGUUGUCCAUAUUAUUCCUUUGAGUCCUCUGCAAGUUCAUUUCAUCUUGAUAUGUUGCUUUUAGCCAUUUUCCUCAUGCCUCUUGUAUUUUCAUGUUUGGAUGCUCCUCUCAACAGGAUUUACCAGCAGCUGUCAGAGAAGAAGAAUUGGACAGACAUCUUCACCUUAAAGAGUUUGACGAGAGGCCAUAUAUGUUUGUGGCGGGAUCUGCGUUUGAUGGGUAAGUAGAGCAAUACCUUUCCCAAGCUUAUUUGCCUCAUACUGAAAGAUGAUCCAUUAUUAUGCAUAUUUCUACUAAUUUCUUCACAAGAUGGAGAUUCAGUGAUUCAGUUUAGGCUGGCAACUGCACCGCUUAACUCAUUCUUAUUUAAAUAUACAUCGCUUAAUAUUUUUUUCUUCUAUGAAUGUGUAAUAGUCAAGGAUAUCAUUGAACUAGCCACUUGGAAGUCUUUGCUUCUUGACCAGUAGACAUGAAUAAAGGUGUGCAGACCUCUUUGGUUUUAUGACCUUUAUGGCAGGACGGGGAUCAAACUGGGUAUCGAGUGGUUGGUAGAAGAAAUGGGAAAGGGCAGGCGCACCGAGGCUGAGGGCACGCACCAACACAUAUGCGAAGAUUUAGCACCAUGACUCAAACUCUGGCACCUUUGAUUUUCAGAAGCACAAAGCAUUUGAGGACGCUGGCUGAUGUCGUUGAUCUCGUGUAUACGCACUUUAGUACAAUGUCAUGAUCAGUUGAAGCCCAUCGUCAUCCUCACUCGGCUAUAGCCCCAGAACAAAAUGCCUUAGAUGUGGCUCUUGGAGCAGUACUUGCAGUAGGAAUUCUGUUGUAGCGAUGCCAGAAACGAUUGUGUUACUCGUCCAGAUUCGUGUUCAUAUGAUCUUCCUUUUUCUUGAAGCAUGAUUACAUGCUGGGUGGCAAUGUUGAGCAUGUGCUUUGUACUCCCACCAUUCACAAGUAUAAGGAUGUUUUAGCUCUUUUCUGAAUCAUUUGUAUAUAGAUAUGUUUUGGUGUUCACAGAUAUAAGAUGUUUUAGCUCUUUUCUGAAUCAUUUGUAUAUAGAUAUGUUUUGGUGUGUUUGUUCACUCGUUUCAGUCCGUAUGUACAUAUUCUUGAAGCAUGAACAUGCUGAGUGAGUACUCCCUCUGUUCACAAAUACGAGAUGUUUUAGCUUUUUUCUGAAUCAUUUGUAUAGACAUGCUUUGGUGUGUUUGUUCACUCAUUUUGGUCCGUAUGUAGUCCAUAUUGAAAUAUCUAAAACAUUAUAUAUUUGUGAGAGGGAGUACGUCUAGUUUUGUCCACAGAAAAAGAAUGCAUUUCCGAAGUGAGACAGUUUCAGUUUGUAAUUGCCAGAUGAACAAGAAAUUUAUUCAUUUCUCAGAAUACAAACACCAUCAUGUAUAUUCCGCAUAUCGCAGAAGGAAAAUAUGACACUAAAAGAAAGUUAAGCUAGAGGAGCAGAGUGAUGUUGGGAUCCCACUAUAGAGUUACAAUACAUGUCACUCUGUCCAAGCUUCAAGUCGGUCCAAGAUAAUUGCACAAGGAACAGGUGGGAAAUGCCUUUGGAAUUGUACAAUGUCCUCAUAGACGAGCUACAUACGAGUUGGCCUGCGUCACAUAUCUCACCCACCUGUAUGGAUUGUAUGUUUUGGAUUUCUUCGCUAUCUGAAGAUAUCUGACCUGCAGAGGCGAAGGGAACAGUUCAGUCGUGUUCAGGAAGCAUAAAAGCUACAUGGAGCAACUAGCUGUUCAAACACACCUAAUAACAGAACAGCUAAAUCAUACUACCUACUUGUCGCUCAAACGGAUGUAUCUAGCACAAAGAUCGCAUACUUGGCAGCAGAUGGUCUUACCUGCAACUUUGAAGCAUUGUACAUAGGUAUAGUGAAAUUCAUGUUUACUGGCCCGGCUUCCUUUGUGAGAUUUCCUGCAUUCCAGAAAGAUGCGUGUCACAAAAAAUGCAGUAUAGCAGGCAAGCCACUCAGAGCAUAGACAAGGCAUGCCAAAGACAAAUGCAUACCAUGUGACUCCUGGGAAAAUGUGAGUUUUGCACGAAGGGUAUGCUCAGAACCGCCAACAAUCUGCCAAAAGUUAAAAUUGUUCAGCAAAGCACAGCAAAUUGGCUAACGAAUUCAGGUUUGCAUUGCAUGUAAUCAUCUUCAAAUAGGGCGUGCAUAUAAUAGAGCUCAAACAAGAUCAAAGAAAAAAUUAAAUCCUUUUUGGAACUUGCCUUCUUUAGAUUCCACUCCAGUCUCCUAGUUCCUUCUUUAAAAUCCGUUGUCUGUCCAACUGCUCCAGCUUCCAGUUCAAAACUUGCCCUACAAAGUAAUCCAUAACGCAUCAGAAGAAGAAGAUAAUGUUUCGCUUUGUAUCAACUAAAAAGAACAAAAUAAAUCUGCAACUGACCUCAUUGUGUAAGAGGGCACUGGCAUUUGUACUGUGAUUGUGUUGGCAGUCACAUUCGCAGGAAAGUCUGCCCGUAUUUUCAAUAGAACUUCAGCCUGUGUAACAUAAAUCAAGAUCUUGAAUGGAGAUACACCAAUGUAGAAAUAUUAAUUUAUCAGCCUCAAAAACACAAAAUACCUUACCCGAGAUGGACCAGCUUCUUCAAUUAGUGCGGUGACACGGAAGGGCGGCUUAAAUUCUUGAGUCAUCCGGUAGUUCAUCACUGGAAAUUCUCCAUCAGGUGGUAUCUGCUCAUUGGUAAAUAUGAUUGUAAAAUUUUGCUGCUGUGCUUAUUUGGAGAAAAAAAAGGAAGAAAUUCAUAUCAGUAGUACUUACUAAAUGCAGAGUUCUGUCAAUGUCAAAACUGUCAAGCUGCACUGACUCAUGGAAGUUACAAUCAUCAAGAACAACUGAUCCUCCUCCAGAAGAACUUCUGUAAUCUGGUAUCAAGCAUUUGUAGUAUUGUUAAUCCAUAAGAUGUAAGAAAAUAAAAUGAUGGUAAGCAGAUCAAAUUUACAUGAUAGCAACAGCACAUCAAACUCACUUUGUUCAAGUGGUAAAAAGUUUUUUUGGUGAAGAACUGAAGAUAGGAAUUGUACGAUAAGACAAAAUGCAAAUAGAAGGACUCCACUGACAUUAAUGGUUGAAUGUACCCAUUGAAUAACCCAUCAAGCAAAAAAUGUAACACGUUUUCAACACUAUGAGCACAAAAUCAAAGAACAGUGAAGAAACAUAAAAUUCAGGUCAUGUUUAUAGAUAUCCGGAAGUCCACAAAAAUAGUAGUACACCAUUUUCCUAAGUUGGGUAAUAAAGGAAGAAAAGUUAACAGACAUACCAUGUGUAGAAGAGCUAUUCUUUCCAAUGCCUAAAUCCUCAUUCAGAGCUAGGCGGAUUUCUGGAUUUCCACUAAGGUAACUUUUCAUUUGGAUGGUUCCAUCAAUCUCAGAGGUAAGUAUAUAACCCUGUAUAAUGAAAUUUCAGAUAGAAGGUAGUAAGUACAUGGAAGUACUAGUGUUGCAUUAGAACAAAGCAUGUAUUCAUCCUAGUUAUAUGACACAAGACAAACAAAAGGAACUGCCAUUUAACUACUCAGGAGUAGGUUGAUAAUAUGUGGUGCCUCACAAAGUGCAAAUAUCCCAUUCGAGCUAUUCAGAACCAAAAGGUAAUAUGGUCCCUAUCCCAUUGAUUUGGAAUUUUACAGUAAGGGGCAACAACAUAGCAUCUUAUGCAUGUCCAAUUUUAAGUUGUAAACGCGGAGAUACUAGUGGGAUAAGAAACUGAAUAAUAAAGGAGCAAAUUUUGACAGUAAGGCAAAUCAACUAACUACGUGCAGCAAGUUGAACUACUUAGUAAUCACUAUUAAUACUACAGAACAGCAACAUGUUUGAGAUUUCAGGUCAGGAAGAAGAAAAGGAAAAACAGCAACAAGGCAUGUGUAUAUCAGAACUUACACUAGAGCUGAAUGUCACACUUAUUUUCUCAAUGAUAUCAACAAAAAUUUCCUCCCUCUUUUUCCCACCUGGCUCAUUAGCAACAACUGAUUUUGUCACAGCUGUACCCGGCAUCCGCUUUGUGCCUUGCUGCAUUAGACAAUUUGUCAAAUGAAACUAUGAGAUUAACAGAGUAAAAUGGUGAGCAGCACACUGCUUGGUCAAGUGAGACCCUAAAGCCAUGUUUUCUUGGGAUAAUAGGGAGAGGUUUUACCAUGAACAUAGCAGCAGGACCAAGUGGUGGCAACCGUCCAGCAUCAACCAUGAUUGGCUCAUUAAAUAUGUACGACUUCAGAGCCUCGGUAGAAGUUGUUUGUGGGUAUCCGAAGUCCUAAUUACACAAUUCAACACAUAAAUAAUGACAUAGUUCUACCAGAAGAUGAUAACAUUGUGUUUUGUCCUAAACAGAUGAAUCACAUUAGCCACUUCAAAACCACACCAACUGCUUGAUAAACACACAUUAAAAUUUGCUAGUGGACCAAAAACAUGGUCAGAACAGGUUGCGGUUAAUAUUGUAUGAAGAAAGGUAGUGUGGACUGCGGGGUACUUACGAUAACUUCAUCAAGCAACUCGUACACUAAAAUGAAAUUCUUCCUCAGGGAAUCUUCAUUUAGAACACCGAGAUAGUCUUUGGUAACACGUGCGAUCCUUUGCAGAAGUUCCAAGAGAAGCGACGGCGAGAUAUUGACCAUUGUGGUUACCACAAAAAAUAAUCCCGCGACUUUGACAUGGACAUAAUUAACCCCAUCGAUAUUCUGUCAUUUACAAAAUGUAGAAAAUGCCACAUAUCAGAUCAAGUGGCAAAGAAAUGGGUGAAUCGACAGACAGAGGAAUGCAAUCAUUGUUGUCUCUUCCAUACACAUAGGUAACACUCACUCCUUCACUUUAUCAAGCAGAUCCUCCAAGGCAAGCUUCAUGCGCAUUUGAUAUGGAACUAACAAUGCAUCAUGUUAUAAACCUUCUCACUACCAAAAGAACCAUAAUGGAGAACAUGCACUAAAAGCUUCCUUCCUGAUGAGCUUAGUCCCCACUUCCCAGACCUCCUACACAGUUGAAGAGUUGCUGGAGGAGGGACUAAUCAUUUUAUUUUCUCAGUCCAUCUAAAGCAUUUGCCUUAGGAACUACUUACACAGGAAUGCAGAUGCACCCUAUGCACCUAACCAAAUGCUCAAUUAUCGUGAAAGGAAUUAACAUAUUGGACGCACAAUGAUUCCAAACAGAACCAGCGAUCUGUAAGCUCACGUUCUAUCUGGAAGUCGGUGAUGCUAUUAAGCUUCUCAACACAUAUUCGACAACCCAUAAUAAACAUAGCUAAUCAGCCUAUCACUUCAACGUAACACCACAACUCAGCACCCAAAAACCUCGAAAUUAGGAUGGUUUAUCAGAUUGCCCAGUAUGAAUAACAAGAGGCAAGCAGGGAGAGGGGAGCAGAUGCAUACGAACACUGGAGGCGCCUCCUCGGCCUCGUCCUCGUUCCAGAACUUGACCUUCCGGAAGAAGAUCUCCGCGCUGCCCUUGGGCACCUCGCCGCGAUCUGCAUCCCGCCCACCCGCCAACAUCCCCACCCCAAAUCAGCGGCAGGUCACGACAAAUUCUGCGAAUGGAACGAGGGGGCAGGAUCCAGAUCUUACAGUCGCGGAAGACGAUGUGGUCGCCGCGCUGCGACAGCACGAAGAACUGCGAGAUCAUCUCUCCCCCGCGCGCCCUCCUCUGCCUCGCCGGCCUCCGGCUCCCCCCUCCUCAGGCAACGUGUCCCGUGGCUGUGACGUGACGCCGCGGCGGUUCGAGGAACAGGCAGCGUGAACGAGCACGGGGAGGUGGAGACGAGGGGGGAGAAGACGCCGACGAGGCCCGCGCGCAGCGGCACGGGACGCUGGAUCAAGCGAUCGCGGGCGUUGGUUUCUGAUCGGACGGCGGCUGACUGGCCACGAGUUUUUUUUUUCUUAUCUCGGCCAGAUGGAUUUUAUCGUCUUGUCUUGUGCGCAACCGCUGGCAGAUCAGGCAUCAAACUGAAACAUUUGCUGUGUUGAGUGUUUAUAGGGAAAACGAACUGGAUUCUGUUAAAAAAAAAUUAACUGAAUUUAGUACUCCCUUCGUCCCAUAUAAGAGUCAAAAACGCUCUUUAACAGAGGGAGUAAAUAUGAAAAACAAGAAAACCAAAUCCUGUAAGUGUCACAAGCAUAGUUGCGCAUAGAGCAGUAGAUUGCAAUAUUGCAAAUGGAUUUGGACCUUUCCUUUUCCAAGUAUGAUGCACAUGCAAAUAAUCACCAUCAUGCAUAAAAAUGCACCAUAGCUACAAUGGCGAUCUCCCACCCCCACCCCCACCAACACCCCACCUCCACCUAGCUACACUGGUGAUCUCUAAUCUUGGAGCCGAUGGAGGGCCUUCUCCAUUGGGACUUCUCCCCCGGUCUUGCAGUUUUGGAUCAGGUGCGUCAACGGUUUGGCUCCACGAUUCACUUCUCCUCCUCGGGCUUUUGAUGGGAGAACAUUUCGGUUCUCGGUUGCUUCUAACAAGGUUGGGCAUUUCAUAUAUGGCCUCAAGGAUAGGAUUUGGCCGGACUUUAUUUGCCAUUUUCAACUAUUCCGUCCUGGUAUUCUUGGUCCUUUCAUUCAGAGUUCUUUGUGGCAUGCUGACGCUUAGAUUCCUGAGAUUUCUGCUCGUUCUUCGAUUGCGAUAAAGCCAAAUUUGUAUUUCUUAAUUCGGGAUCAUGAAGUUGAGCCAAUUUCCUAUGAGCUUUCCAAAUUUGGUCUCCAGAGGGAUGUUCAUCACAGGUCUCGGUCGGAGCCACUACCGGAAUCCUCACCGGCGGCGACCGGCAAUUCUUUGGACCACACACCCGGUCCCGUUUUGGGUAAGGAGCCAUUCAUGGAAUCAUGCCAUAAUUCACUACACUUUAGGCUGGUCUUUAGCACAUUUCAAUCAGCAUUUAAUGACACCUUUAGGAAUCAUAAUUGGCGUUUUGAAGGUUGACGGUUUAAGAGGGAAAAUUGGAACUCCUUGCCACAAUUCUUGCUUCAUCAUAUUUUGGACUUUCAGAAAGUGGGCUACUCUGACCAAAGAAUUGCUGAAAUCUGGGACCUUCAUAUUGUACCCUCAUCAAGCUUUAUCUAUGAAAGGCUCAAUUUAUGCUCCAAUUGUGGUGAUGUUGGACACCUUGCCGCCCAAUGCCCUGGUACGUACUACAUGAUUUGUUAUGACUGUAUCUGCACGUGUCAAUCUACAUCGCCUCGUGACUCCACACAAUGUUCCCCACAUAAUAAGCCGGUCUGCUCCUUCCAUGGGUCCUUAACCCACCCUUUUUUCGACUGCCCAACCCAUAUGAAAUGUGCCAAAUGCAAUCUAUUGGGUCAUCAUACGACAAUUGCAGAGAUCCGCCCUUCAUCUGAUGUGGAAGCCCAAAGUCCAUUUGGAUAUGGCCUGCUCAUCUAAUUCGAGUAGUUAUGGAUACUUCUCAAAAUCUCUCCACGAAAUUCUCGGUACCACCUCUUAAGGAUUACUUGGAGAAACAUUGGAUAUCAUGGAUGAUUUGCCAUACUCCUUCCAAGGAUAAACAUAUGUAGCACAGGCAAGUAAAGCAGAAUAUGGUCAAUUCUGGGUCUCCGCACCAUCAGAUCAAUCAACAUCAAAGCAAUUAUUCGCCUGCCAACUUACCAGCCUACCACCGCAAAUGCUCGUCUACCGUCUGAUGCACUUUUUGUGGAUUCUUGGAACACGCGGCAACACCCUGCUUCCGUCUAUUCCAUUCUCAGCAAGGGGUCUGGGUCCCCAAGGGUGGGUGUGCUGCUGCCGAUUCGCAUUCUUCCAUUGUGCGCUCCCCUGCUCUGCUCUCGAAACCUCCACCUGCAUCGGUCAUGGAGAACUUCCCUCUCAACUUCAUCCCCUACCUCCCGCAGGGCAUGACGGUUGAUCUAGGCCCGGCCGAUCAAAAGAUGCGUGGUGACAUGGUGGUCAGUCCGGUUCCCUGCUACUUCUUCAGCUUGCGUUGGUUUUUCCCUUGAAGAGGAAAGGGUGAUGCAACAAAGUAGAGAUAAGUAUUUCCCUCAGUUUGAGAAACAAGGUAUCAAUCCAGUAGGAGAAGAACGCACAAAUCACCAAUACCUACACAAACAGUCAAACAACUUACACCCAACGCGAUAAAGGGGUUGUCAACCCCUUCACGGUUACUUGCAAAAGUGAGAUCUGAUAGAGAUAGAUAAACAAAAG